UGUGUAGGCGGUUCUCUAAGUUUGGUGUGAAAUCUCCCGGCUCAACCGGGAGGGUGCGCCGAAAACUGGAGGACUGGAGUGCGGGAGAGGAGAGUGGAAUUCCUGGUGUAGCGGUGAAAUGCGUAGAUAUCAGGAGGAACACCGGCGGUGUAGACGGCUCUCUGGACCGUAACUGACGCUGAGACACGAAAGCGUGGGGAGCAAACAGGAUUAGAUACCCUGGUAGUCCACGCCCUAAACGAUGCACAUUUGGUGUGGGCCAUUCAGUUGGUCCGUGCCGGAGCUAACGCGUUAAAUGUGCCGCCUGGGGAGUACAGUCGCAAGGCUGAA
rnacentral:rRNA from 1 species